rnacentral:rRNA from 1 species
UACGGGGGGAGCAAGCGUUGUUCGGAUUUACUGGGCGUAAAGGGCGCGUAGGCGGUCAGCACAAGUCAGUUGUGAAAUCUCCGGGCUUAACUCGGAAAGGUCAACUGAUACUGUGCGACUAGAGUGCGGAAGGGGCAACUGGAAUUCUCGGUGUAGCGGUGAAAUGCGUAGAUAUCGUGAGGAAGACCAGUUGCGAAGGCGGAUCUCUGGGCAGUUCCUGACACUGAGGCACGAAGGCCAGGGGAGCAAACGGG